UAGAGUUUAAGAAAGACAAAAUCACCUUUGAAACAUACAGUUUAACAGGUGGGAAUUUAUGUUCUGUAGUAGUGGACAUUUUUUAGAUUGUGAGUCCAAAAUUUUGAAGUGGAGCCUUGGUGUAACUAGUAAAGUUGCCGCCAAGUGACCAGGGGUCACAAGUUCAAACUUCCGUGGAACAAUGGACCCUUAUGGUUCGGCCAUCAAUUUAGGAGUAGCUAUUUUUAUCUUUAAUAUACAUAUUGCGUCAUUUUAAGUUUUAGUAGCUUUUCACAUAUAUGCCCA
rnacentral:lncRNA from 1 species